AUCGUAGUCAGACGCGAUGCCAUUUCGCCAGGCGGCC
rnacentral:tRNA from 1 species